UUUUGAUGAUGAAAAAUCUAAUUCUUGUUUCUCAAAACAUUUGUGGUGGCCAAUUAAGAUCUUUCGCCUUCGCUAGGCUUGAGAGAUACUGUUGCUUCAAUCCAUCCUUGGAUGUCUGAGAUA